rnacentral:lncRNA from 1 species
GAGCCAAGAACACAAGGUACAAGUGGAGCCCAAGAGUGACCAGGCUACCCUACAGGUUCCCGUCAUCUCUCUAUCUAGGCAGGCACUGAUGCCAGCACACAGUCAACCAGCCAGCCAGUCAGCCAGCCAGCAGCGUCUAGUGUAUUCUCUACCUGCUUCACUCCCUUCACAGACCUAGCCAGGACAUGGUGAGGACCAAGGAGAAUAGUGAACGUGCUGGUAAAAGGGACAGCUGUCUCAUCCCUGCAAGGCCAAAUUCGGCCUGCUGUUGCCAGGAACGACACUUCCCCCCUUUUGAGAGAGUGGAAACAUCUGGUCACCCACAAAGCACAUCAUGCCAGCCAACACAAGACCAGGAAGAGAAGCAGACCAACGCUGUUGACAUCAGCUAACUACACGCCAGCCACUAUCCAGGCACGCUGGAAGGACACUUCACCGGUGACUAAGAUCACUCCAGAAGACUGACAUGACACUAUCAGUGACAUUAGCUAUUAGGCUACUGUGGGACACUUGUCCGGCUGACAUCCAUUGAUAUAGUGUACCCAAACCAAGAGCAAGGAUGCUAACUCAGAAGGACUAAACCACACUUGUGUCUGUCUAAGACAUCAGAUAAAUCCCACACUCCGAGGUCUUUCUUAUGGAAUCAAAACAAAAUAGCUACACUUGUUUAGACGUGAAUGUAUACCUUUCAUUUUGUGUGUCUAUGAUACUGUCAAAAGGAUA